rnacentral:rRNA from 1 species
UGGGGAAUAUUGGACAAUGGGCGAAAGCCUGAUCCAGCCAUGCCGCGUGUGUGAAGAAGGUCUUCGGAUUGUAAAGCACUUUAAGUUGGGAGGAAGGGCAGUAAAUUAAUACUUUGCUGUUUUGACGUUACCGACAGAAUAAGCACCGGCUAACUCUGUG